rnacentral:rRNA from 1 species
GAUGAACGCUGGCGGCGUGCCUAAUACAUGCAAGUCGAGCGAACGGACGAGAAGCUUGCUUCUCUGAUGUUAGCGGCGGACGGGUGAGUAAAACGUGGAUAACCUACCUAUAAGACUGGGAUAACUUCGGGAAACCGGAGCUAAUACCGGAUAAUAUUUUGAACCGCAUGGAUCAAAAGUGAAAGACGGUCUUGCUGUCACUUAUAGAUGGAUCCGCGCUGCAUUAGCUAGUUGGUAAGGUAACGGCUUACCAAGGCAACGAUGCAUAGCCGACCUGAGAGGGUGAUCGGCCACACGGGAACUGAGACACGGUCCAGACUCCUACGGGAGGCGGCAGUAGGGAAUCUUCCGCAAUGGGCGAAAGCCUGACGGAGCAACGCCGCGUGAGUGAUGAAGGUCUUCGGAUCGUAAAACUCUGUUAUUAGGGAAGAACAUAUGUGUAAGUAAAUGUGCACAUCUUGACGGUACCUAAUCAGAAAGCCACGGCUAACUACGUG